rnacentral:lncRNA from 1 species
CUAUCACUACUUGCCUCAAAUGACAUCACUCUACCAUCAGCUGUUUUUUUGAUUUCCAGGUUUGUGUGCUUUCCUUUAUUCUGGUUUUCCUUUGAUUUUAUGUAAUAACAAGAUUUUGUUGUGGAUAAAUGAAAUUCGUGGUUCCACAUAUGUAGGUGCAGAUAUUAUGUGUGAAAGGUAUAUGAUAGGCUAUUGAUAACUAUUUUUUGAUGAUCAUGCAUACUAGGUGUUUGAUAAUAUCCUUAAGAAGGCCAUUUUUCUCCUUCUACCUAUUUUCAUCUUCACCACUGCAUAUGGUGUGCUUCACACCAUCCUUCCCCAUUAGCAUGUUCAUCUACUUCAUUGGCAUUUAUAUCUUAUUCAAGCUUCAAAGGGACGAGUAACAAACUGAAGUGCCAAGAUCAAUUGAAGUAUCCAAAUCUGACAUAAGGUAAGCUUAUAUGAUUUCUUUAUUUUCUUCUAUUAGAGACAUCGAAUGAUGUAUUCUAGACUCAAUGAUUAUUUUCACAUUGAUUUUUGAUGGGAUCUGCUUCUUCAUCUCUUUGGGAUGCUCUAUUUCCUAUUCACUCCUCUUGGUUUUUUCCAUUUUCGAUCACUAAGAUGAAAUUUAAUUUUUUUGAACAUGAUGAUGGUAGAUGUUGAUGUACAUACAUGUUGGAGGCUUCCCCUUGAUUUUUUUUAUCCCUAAUUAUUUUGUUACAUGGCCUCGAUUUUGAAAAACUAAAAAAUCUGAUUCAAGAAUUGGCUAAUCUUGCCUCUUUUGUUUGAUAAUUUUUUUGGCAAAGGAGUUUGAUUUAUACUAUCCCCUUAAUUUUAUUAGAGUAUUUUAUUUCCCAUUACUAACACAAUUGUUUGUUUUCUUAUCCUUACUUUCAGAUUAGUUUGAGUAAGACCAAGAAGAAAUAAGUAAAAAAAUGAACUCUAAUUUCAACUGAGUAUACAUGUUAACUUUUUUUGUUUGUCAACUUUUGCUUUUUUGAACUCUAAUUUCAGGUGAAUCAUUUGGAAUUUUUUUAGGUAGUGUGUGGUGUUGUGCGAAAGCAGGAUCUACCCAUAUGUGGCUGAUUGUUGGGUCAAGAGUUGAGAAUAAGCUCUGCCCAUUAAAACAAGUAUGUAUAUUUAUCAGCUGAUCAAAAAUAACUGUGUGAUUCUCCUUUGGUUCACUCUAUUAGUCUCUUAGACGAUAUUGCCCCUAUCCCAGUUUCAUCUGUUAUGGUGAAUUCAACAUCUUCCUUUAAGGUGACCCAACUUAACAACCCUAUAGAGCUCCUAAGAAUUUACCAAUAAUUGAAUAUCAAACCUUAGAGGAGUUGUAUGCUUUUAAUUUAUUUUUCUGUUUUAGCUGUUUUUUCUAUUGUUUGUAUGUUUUCAAACACUUCUACUUUCUUCAGAGCAACUUAGAGCAGCAGGUUGAAAAACUUUUAUGCAUAAAUUUUUUAUGUCAAAGGAAUUGGAGUAAAAAAAAAGAUGUGAUAAUGAUUAACUUUUUAGUUGGAAAAAUGUGAGGGACGGAUAAUGGAGAACCAAAGUCACAUGGUUUCUAUUUAUGAAUUCAAUGCAACUCAUGUCUUUAUUCUGUUAAUUAUUUUUUGAUUAUGAAGAUAAAAUGAUAACUAUGUUUGUUUAUUAUUAUUAUUAUUAUUAUUAUUAUUAUUAUUAUUAUUAUUAUUUUUAUUAUUAUUAUUAUU